GACAGAGGGUGCUAGCGUUGUCCGGGAUUAUUGGGCGUAAAGAGCUUGUAGGCGGUCUGUCGCGUCUGCUGUGAAAAUCCGGGGCUCAACCCCGGACUUGCAGUGGGUACGGGCAGACUAGAGUGAUGUAGGGGAGACUGGAAUUCCUGGUGUAGCGGUGAAAUGCGCAGAUAUCAGGAGGAACACCGAUGGCGAAGGCAGGUCUCUGGGCAUUAACUGACGCUGAGGAGCGAAAGCAUGGGGAGCGAACAGG
rnacentral:rRNA from 1 species